rnacentral:rRNA from 2 species
GCGCGCCUACCAUGCAGGUCGAGCGGAUGAAAGGAGCUUGCUCCUUGAUUCAGCGGCGGACGGGUGAGUAAUGCCUAGGAAUCUGCCUAUUAGUGGGGGACAACGUUUCGAAAGGAACGCUAAUACCGCAUACGUCCUACGGGAGAAAGCAGGGGACCUUCGGGCCUUGCGCUAAUAGAUGAGCCUAGGUCGGAUUAGCUAGUUGGUGAGGUAAUGGCUCACCAAGGCUGCGAUCCGUAACUGGUCUGAGAGGAUGAUCAGUCACACUGGAACUGAGACACGGUCCAGACUCCUACGGGAGGCAGCAGUGGGGAAUAUUGGACAAUGGGCGAAAGCCUGAUCCAGCCAUGCCGCGUGUGUGAAGAAGGUCUUCCGAUUGUAAAGCACUUUAAGUUUGGGAGAAAGGCAUUAA